rnacentral:lncRNA from 7 species
GACAGCCAGGUGUUGCUUUUUGUGAUUUCAUUCAUUUUUAGUUCCUCUCCUGAGAACUUCUGAUUGUUGUUUCUAAAUGCCAUAUGUGCACAUUAUGUAUAUCUAAUGUUGUGUUACUUGUGUGUAUACUUACAGAUCUGGGCAUUUGUUCCCAUGUUAUAUUCAGACACUGGAACAACUUGUAACUUCUAUAAUGUGUGGGUAGACCAAUAUUUGGAGUGUGAUACCAAUCCUCCACUGGGAUACAGAGAAUGCAUCUGAAGCUUGAAAAUCUACGGUUCUAGCUCAAGCCUUAGGAAAGUAAAGAAAAAAGAAAGUAAGGGGAUCCGUGGGUCCCCCCACCCCAUUUAGUCAUGGAACCAGACCAGAACCAAUGACACCAGGACCGUCUCUGGGAGUGCCUUCAGGUAGUACCUGCAGCACUGAGGAACAGGAUUUGUGUCUCUUGGACUGACUGCAUCAACUCAGCUGUGAAACUGGCUUGAGCCUGGAUCAGCAAGGAUCAACUGGAACAGGACCUCGUGGGGUUUCCUUAGGGCUCACAGGUUCUUUGUAGUUACCAAACUCUCUUCUGGCUCCUGCUGCCCCUGUUUGGCCAACACCUGUAUGACUUGUCCCACCAAGCAGACUGGCCCUGCAUUUGUACAUUGUGCUUAAGCCCCAUAAAACUAUCAUGCGAAACAAGGAGCCACCUUUGAAACCACACCACAGAAACUCAUCAGGGCAAGUCAUUCUCAAACUCAGCUUUUCAUGUGAAGUAAACUUCUAACAGUAUUCCCAGGAAAGAGAUAAGAUGUGCUAAGAUUUGCUAUUGUAAGCCCAAUACUGCCAGAGGCCCAUGGCAACACACAGAAUCUAAGCCAAGGUAUAGAAACACACUACAGGAUCAAAACAAACAAACAAACAAACAAAAACCCUUCAGGCUUUACUAAGAAAUCUCAUUAAAAAGGUCAAAUCCAUAGAGAAGGCUAGCAAGAAUAGAUGAGGUGCUGAACCUGCAGGAGUAACAUAAUAGGGAUGUUGUAACAUCCAGCCACAGAAAAAGUUCCCAGAUUUAGGCUGCAUUUAUUUCUUCUUUGCCAUAUAUUUUCCUGGUAAGCAUGAGUCCCUACUCAAACUAUCUGCAGAAAAAUAUCCUCCAAGAAUUUUGUUAGUGCUUUUUAUCUUUUGUAAUUAUAAAGGCAAGCUGCUGUAACAUGAAAAGCCUGGAAAUACUUCAAUGUUUUUUAACUGUGUAAAUGUGAUAAAAAGUCUUUCUC